rnacentral:rRNA from 1 species
UACGUAGGGUGCAAGCGUUAUCCGGAAUUAUUGGGCGUAAAGAGCUCGUAGGCGGUUUGUCGCGUCUGCUGUGAAAACUGGAGGCUCAACCUCCAGCUUGCAGUGGGUACGGGCAAACUAGAGUGCGGUAGGGGAGAUUGGAAUUCCUGGUGUAGCGGUGGAAUGCGCAGAUAUCAGGAGGAACACCGGUGGCGAAGGCGGGUCUCUGGGCCGAUACUGACGCUGAGGAGCGAAAGCGUGGGGAGCGAACAGG